CAGCGAACGGGAGAGUAACGCGUGGGUAACCUACCCAGAAGUAUGGGAUAGCUCCGGGAAACCGGGGGUAAUACCGCAUGUACUUUGGUCGGCAUAAGUCGACUUUUGAAAAGGCGGGGAUCCUUCGGGACCUGUCGCUUCUGGAUGGGCCCGCGUCCGAUUAGCUAGUUGGUGGGGUAAUGGCCUACCAAGGCUUCGAUCGGUAGCCGGCCUGAGAGGGUGAACGGCCUCAUUGGGACUGAGACACGGCCCAG
rnacentral:rRNA from 1 species